AAUAAGGCCUUUUUAAGGCCAUAAACUUUCCAUAUUAAAAUAAUU
rfam:Chlamydotis undulata macqueenii contig4359, whole genome shotgun sequence.